GACGAACCGUGCGAACGUUGUCCGGAAUCAUUGGGCGUAAAGCGCGUGUAGGCGGCCAGAAAAGUCCGCUGUGAAAACUCGAGGCUCAACUUCGAGCUGUCGGUGGAAACUUUCUGGCUAGAGUCCGGAAGAGGAGAAUGGAAUUCCUGGUGUAGCGGUGAAAUGCGCAGAUAUCAGGAAGAACACCCGUGGCGAAAGGCGGUUCUCUGGGACGGUACUGACGCUGAGACGCGAAAGCGUGGGGAGCGAACAGG
rnacentral:rRNA from 1 species